GCACGAGGGCAACAGAAGGAAAUUGAAGCUACCUCCUCUUUUCUCCUGCCCAUGGCGCUCGUCGGUAGCAAUGCACACUCCGCGAUUCUUGUCCUCUUCCUGGUUCUCUCGAUGAUGAUGUCCUCCUCGCCACCGUCACACUGCCAUGCACUUAGGAUAUGGUCGUGCGCCAAUUCUGCGCACCAGCCCUGCAGUAAGGCGAUGUGCAUCUAUGAGUGCGAAGAGAGGGGAGCUGCAGGACCUAUUUAUCUUUCCCGCUGCAACCACACCGUCCACCCCGAGCAGUGCUGCUGCAGGAACGUCUAGCCGAACUCGGUGUGACAGCCAUGACGGCUAAGCACCGUACAUGACUGGCACCUGGUCUAGAUUCAAUAAACAUCUUAUGUUUCUCUCAACAAAAAAUUAGUCAUGCCAACCAUGAAUCUUCUUCGAGUGAGUAGAAAAUUAAGAAUGAUUGACA